rnacentral:lncRNA from 1 species
GGGGCCCGAACUUCUCGUUAUCUUGAGGAAGUCUGUUUUCUCCGGUCAGUGUUGGGUUCCUCUUUAGAGAUUGAGGGUUUUUGACAAGAGUCUCCUUCCUCAUUGAGACGAGGUCCCUUGCGUCUUUGAUGUAGUUUGUUUUUCCCUUAUCACUGGCGUGGCUCGUCGCUUUUUUUUCUCUCUCCUUUUUUUUUGUGUUCGAGUGAGGAUUUUUUCUCUACUAUUAAUGGGGUUGUAGGGGUAUAGAGGAGCCGUUGA